GUGGGUAUAGCUCAGCUGGUUAGAGCACCAGAUUGUGGUCCUGGGGGUCGUCGGUUCGAAACCGACUACCCACCCCA
rnacentral:tRNA from 1 species